AUUGAACGCUGGCGGCAUGCCUUACACAUGCAAGUCGAACGGCAACAGGUCUUCGGAUGCUGACGAGUGGCGAACGGGUGAGUAAUACAUUGGAACGUGCCUAGUAGUGGGGGAUAACUACUCGAAAGAGUGGCUAAUACCGCAUGAGAUCUACGGAUGAAAGCAGGGGAUCGCAAGACCUUGUGCUACUAGAGCGGCCGAUGGCAGAUUAGGUAGUUGGUGGGAUAAAAGCUUACCAAGCCGACGAUCUGUAGCUGGUCUGAGAGGACGAUCAGCCACACUGGGACUGAGACACGGCCCAGACUCCUACGGGAGGCAGCAGUGGGGAAUUUUGGACAAUGGGCGCAAGCCUGAUCCAGCAAUGCCGCGUGCAGGAUGAAGGCCUUCGGGUUGUAAACUGCAUUUGUACGGAACGAAAAGCCCCGGGUUAAUACCCUGGGGUCAUGACGGUACCGUAAGAAUAAGCACCGGCUAACUAUGUGCCAGCCGCCGCAGUAA
rnacentral:rRNA from 1 species